rnacentral:rRNA from 1 species
UACGAGGGGGGCGAGCGUUGUUCGGAUUCAUUGGGCGUAAAGGGUGCGUAGGCGGUCUGCUAAGUUUGAUGUGAAAUCCCGGGGCUUAACCCUGGAAUGGCAUUGAAUACUGGCGGACUCGAGUACCGGAGAGGAAACUGGAAUUUACGGUGUAGCAGUGAAAUGCGUAGAGAUCGUAAGGAAGACCAGUGGCGAAGGCGGGUCUCUGGGCCAUUACUGACGCUGAGGAGCGAAAGCGUGGGGAGCGAACAGG